rnacentral:rRNA from 1 species
GACGAACGCUGGCGGCGUGCCUAAUACAUGCAAGUCGAACGCAGUGGGGACGGGUGAGUAACACGUGGGUUACCUCCCAUCACAGGGGAUAACACUUGGAAACAGGUGCUAAACCGAUACUGAUGGAUGGACCCGCGGUGCAUUAGCUAGUUGGUGAGGUAACGGCUCACCAAGGCCACGAGCCAUAGCCGACCUGAGAGGAUGAUCGGCCAGACUGGGACUGAGACACGGCCCAGAAUCCUACGGGAGGCAGCAGUGGGGAAUAUUGGGCAAUGGACGAAAGGCUGACCGAGCAACGCCGCGUGAAUGAAGAAGGUUUUAGGAUGGUAAAACUAUGUUGUUAGAGAAGCGGUAUCUAACCAAAAAGCAACGGCUAACUACGUGCCAGCAGCCGCGGUAAUAC